rnacentral:rRNA from 1 species
AUUGAACGCUGGCGGCAUGCUUUACACAUGCAAGUCGAACGGUAACAGGCCGCAAGGUGCUGGCGAGUGGCGAACGGGUGAGUAAUGCAUCGGAACGUGCCCAGUCGUGGGGGAUAACUACUCGAAAGAGUAGCUAAUACCGCAUACGAUCUAUGGAUGAAAGCGGGGGACCGUAAGGCCUCGCGCGAUUGGAGCGGCCGAUGUCAGAUUAGGUAGUUGGUGGGGUAAAGGCUCACCAAGCCAACGAUCUGUAGCUGGUCUGAGAGGACGACCAGCCACACUGGGACUGAGACACGGCCCAGACUCCUACGGGAGGCAGCAGUGGGGAAUUUUGGACAAUGGGCGCAAGCCUGAUCCAGCAAUGCCGCGUGCAGGAAGAAGGCCUUCGGGUUGUAAACUGCUUUUGUACGGAACGAAACGGCUCUGGUUAAUACCCGGGGCUAAUGACGGUACCGUAAGAAUAAGCACCGGCUAACUACGCG